GAUGAGAGGUGAGGUGAAAGGAGUGGAGGAGAAGUGGGUUGGGGAAGAUAAGUUUUAGGUUUUUUUUUUAAUAAAUACUUUUUUAAAAUUAAUUAUUUUUAAAUUCAUAAAAAAAAAUUAUUUUUACCACGUGGUACAAAUAUGGCAGCCACGUCAGCUUUUAACGGAACAAUGGAUGAAAAAUCUAACGGAUAUAUUAUUUGAAAUAAAAUAGUACGUGAGGUAUGAAAGUGAAAUGUUUUAAAGAUGUUGUAUGAAGUUGUAAUAGAUUUCAAACCUGAUGGGCUACUAUGUAAUUUAUCAUAUAAAAAAUCAAUAGUGAAGAUAGUCCUGUCACUAUCACACAAUUCACAACUGAAUCUUGUCCCCCUCACAUAAUUGCAUACCUAAAAAAAUUAAUACUGCAGAUAGUCCUAUCACUAAUACUCUUUUAGGGUAAUAUUAAAAAGAUCAAAUAUUUAAACUAAAUUUUAUAAACUGAAAUUUAUAAAUGUUGAUGAUUAGAUUAUUACUUAACUUUUAAUUAACAUGUUUAUUUUUGGGGUGUGCUAUCUACACACUAUUUUUUACUUCUCCCACACCCCUUGUUAAUUUCUGUCAUUUGAUCUUCUUCAAUUCAUCCGAUUAGACGGUCGAAAAUUAAAAUGGUGUGAAGGAAGUAAAAAAUGGUGUGUGGAUAUCACAUCCCUUAUUUUUUUAAGGAACUUUAAUGAAAAGCUCUUGGUGCUGUUUAUGUCACAGCCCGUCCCGGAGAUACAUUUGACGGGAAUGUGAAAUGAUGGAUUUACCCUUAGCGGGUAUUAAGGUACGUGGGUGUGACGUUAUUUGGAUUAAUUUUAUAAGGUUGGAUUAAAUUUAUUGGUUUGUAAAAUAUUGGGAAUAGGGAUUAAAUGGAUGGUGAGGAUUUGGUGUUGGAACAUCUACACCUCCCUGCUCUCUCCUUUCCCCGUGUGUCUCUCUCUCUCUCUCUCUCUCCUCCAUCGACUCACUCUCUCCCUCUCAAAUUGUACGGACCUCACCACAAAACCCUGAAACUUCACGGAUCGAAGGUGCCAAGGGCACCAUUGUGCUCGUGAAGACUCUACGAACUCAAAGACACCAUUUUCAGGUAAGGAAUCCUUCGUUUUCACUUUGAAAACUCGAGGUCCGAGUUUGGCACUAUUCAUGAACUUUUUGUUGGUUGAUUUUUAGGACAAUCCAAGCUCAUAGUGAGCUUAGUGAGGUCCCAAGGAAGCUCGGAGUGCUUCGUUGGAAGGAUUUGGACGUCGGGAUCACGAGGGUUAAGUUUGGCCGGUUUUGCUUGGAUUUUUCCGGUGA
rnacentral:lncRNA from 1 species